GACCAAUCCGAUUAGCUAAAAAUGAUCACUUUCUCGAGUCCUUUACUCCUUUCUCAGUCUCACUCUCUGUAUCUUCCGUAGUCUUUCUCGAUUAAUCUCAAUCACGAGAAGCCGGGAACGAACUAGCAAUCCACAAACUCUUCUUCCUAAUCAAUUUACAUUUAGGUAAUCUCUUGUCCAUUAAUUUCAAACUGUUUUUGACUGGUUGUUCAUCAAUUUUACACAAUGAUAGAAAUCGUUUGUACUGUAUAAUUCAUGGGCAAUUUUGAACCUUUCAUGUCAAUUUUCUGUUUCAAUUUUUAGCAUUUCUCAAUUUCUUCCAAUUUACGAGCUUUAAUCAGAAAAAAUAAUUUCCAAUUCAAUUUGCAAUCUAGCUUAUUAUGUCACUCCUUCCGGUAGAUGUUAUCAUUGAUAUUUGUUGAGGCCAUGAGAAAACCCACCUGUGAGUGAAAGUGUUGUCCCACAUUGAAAGAAUAUAAAAGUGAAGAGAAAUAUUGGGAUGUGUAUCCCACAUUGAAGAAAAGAGAAAGCCGUGUCCACUUUAUAAGGCUAAGGGGCUACUCUUAAAUUGCCGGCAAAAUCUUUGCUAAUCUUUGCUUCACCAUGUGAUACAACAGAUGAUUGGGGAGUUUAGGCCUCUUUCUUUCUCGACAAGCAGAAAGCAAUUGUUUUUGACCUAUAACUCAUAUGUUCUUGCUUCUUUGGACAUGGAAACUUUGGAGACUACGAUAGUUAAACUCCCAGGUUUUCCUAGAGUUUUAUGUACACAUUUGUGUCAGGAGAACCUUCAUAGGUUCAAGGAUGCUGAAGAUGUUCUUGUGGGCACACAGCAACAACGUAAAAUGAACAGCAAAAGGCAAAGGUUGAUGAGGAGAACAGAGAGGAUUUUACAACACGAUCAUUCCAUUGUAAAAUCAGUCAUGGGCAACGGUGCUGAUAAAAAAUAGAGUCUUGAACCUCAUUGUAUAUCUACAUUCCAACAUUAGAGAAAUCAAAAGAUGAAUCUGGAUGACAGCUUGGUGAGAAUUCUAUCUAGCAAUGGCAAUCUGGAUAAGUUACAGCCCCUUCAACAUGUAUUGCUGCUGCCGGUUUUUGAUGCGACAUUUGCAUCUUCUAGUGUUCCUGGCUCUGCAUAAAAACUCCUGGGUUUAGAUGAGCUCUUAGCUUGUAAUGAAAUCUGUUUAGUUAACCUUAUCUAUGUACUAUAUGGUGCCCAAGUCUGGAACAACGUAAUUGUAUUUCUGAUAUCCUUUUCAGCUCCUCAGGUUGAUUUUUGUGGGGAUGUUUUGCUAUUUCUAGGUACGAUUAAGACUUCAUUUGUUUCACUACUGUUAAUCAUCGUACUUACAUGUUGAAGUUAUGAAUGGAACCCUUGUGAGAUAA